GCUUUUCUGAUCUCUCUUUACUUUUUCAGUUGCUUCACUGAGAGAGCCAACGGUGGAGCACUAUGAUGAUGGCACUGCUGAUGACAACGAGACCAACCUCGAUGAUAUGUUGACAGAGUCUUUGAGAGAGGAGGGGCUGGAGGAUUAUGAUGACAUCACCAUUGAUGAGAAUGCCUCUAAAUGACCAAGGUGGUGUGAGUGACUGUUGCUAGGGAUGGAUUAUGAUGAUGUGGGGGCGGAGUCUGAU